AUAGUCUCAAUCUCCUGACCUCGUAAUUCACCUACCUUGGCCUCCCAUAGUGCUGGGAUUACAGGUGUGAGCCACCAUGCCCAGCCAAAAUUUCUUACAGACACUGUGAAGCUCAAGGUUGAAGGGGGCUGGCUGCAUGUGGUGAGGUGCUUCUUGUUGGUGGGGGUUUCUGCAGAGUCCCAAGGCGGAACAGUCCUGAUGUGCAGGGCAUCACACUGAGAGGGGCUGAGUGGCUAGCUCAGGCCUGUCUUCCUCCUCUUCUAAAGCCAGCAGUCCCGUUCCUAUGUAACCCACUAGUCCAUGACA